UUUUUGUCUUUUUGCCAUUUCUUGGGCCGCUCUGGAGGCAUAUGGAGGUUCCCAGGCUAGGGGUCCAAUCGGAGCUAUAGCCACCGGCCUACACCAGUGCCACAGCAACAUGGGAUCUGAGCCGCGUCUGCGACCUACACCACAGCUCACGGCAACGCCAGAUCGUUAACCCCCUGAGCAAGGGCAGGGAUCAAACCCGCAACCUCAUGGUUCCUAGUCAGAUUCGUUAACCACUGCGCCACGACAGGAACUCAUUCCUAGGUAAUUUAUUCUUUUUGAUGUGAUAGUAAAUGAGAUUAUUUCCUUAAUUUCUCUUUCUGAUAUUUCUUUGUUGGCAUAUAGAAAUGCAAGAGAGUUCUGUAUAUUAUUUUUGUAUCCAGGAAGUUUAUUGAAUUCACUGAUGAACUCUAGUAGUUUUCUGAGCCUCUUGGGGAUUCUCUAUAUAUAGAAACAGGUCAUAUGCAAACAGUGACAGUUUUACUUCUUUUGAAUUUGUAUUCUUUUUAUUUGUUUCUCUUCUCUCAUUUAUUGUGGGUAGGACUUCCAAAACUAUGUUGAAUAAAAAUGUUGAGAGUGGGCACUCUUGUCUUGUUCUUGACCUUAGAGGAAAUGCUUUCAGCUUUUCACCACUGAGUGUGAUGUUAUCUGUAGGCUUGUCAUUAACGGCCUUUAUUAUGCUAUUAUGUUGAGGUAUGUACACUCUGUACUCACUUUCUAAAGAGUUUUUAUCAUAAAUGGAUGUUGAAUUUUAUCAAAAGCUUUUCCUGCAUCUAUUGAGAUGAUCAUAUGGUUUUUAUUCUUUUUAAAACUAUUAUUAUUUUUGUCUUUUCAGGGCUGCACCCGCAACAUAUGGAGGUUCCCAGGCUAGGGGUCAAAUCAGAGCUGUAGCCACUGGCCUACACCACAGCCAGAUCCUGUGAAUUGGUAGAAUUCACCAGUGAAGCCACAUGGUCCUAGAGUUUUGUUUGUUGGGAGUUUUUGAUUUACUGAUUCAAUUUCAGUACUGGUAAUUGGUCAGUUCAUAUUUUCUAUUUAUUCUUGCUUCUGUCUUGGGAGAUGUUGUUUAGGUUGUCCAUUUGACUGGCAUAUAGUUGCUCGUAGUAGUCUCUCUAUGAUCCAUUGUAUUUCUGUGGUGUCAGUUAUAACUUCUUCUUCAAUUCUGAUUUUUUUGGUUUGUGCCCUCUCCCUCUUUUUUUUCUUAAUGGGUCUGAUUAAAGGUUUAUCAAUUUUGUUUUUUUUUAUCUUUUUUAAAAACCAACUUUUAGUUUUAUUGAUCUUUUCUAUUGUCUUUAAGUCUCUAUUUCAUUUAUUUCUGCUCUGAUCAUUAUGAUUUCUUUCUACUGACUUUGGGUUUUGUGUGUUCUUCUUUGUUCAGUUGCUUUAGGGUUAAGGUAACAUUGUUUAUUUGGAAUUUUUCUUGUUUCCUGAGUUAGACUUGUAUUGCUAUAUAAACUUUUCUCAUAGAAUUUUUCUUGCCACAUCCCAUAUUUUUGGAUUGUCAUGUUUUCAUUUUCAUUUCUCUCUAGGUAUUUUUAGAUUUCCUCUUUUAUUUCUUCAGUGACCUAUUGGUUGUUUACUAGCAUGUUGUUUAGUGUCCAUGUAUUUGUGGGUUUCGCAAGUGUUUUUUCCCCUUGUAGUUCAUUUCUAGCCUCAUAGCAUUUUGGUCAGAAAAGAUGCUUGAUAUGAUUUCAGUUUUCUUAAAUUUACCAAGGCUUGUUUUGUGGCUCAGCAUGUGAUCUAUGCUCAAGAAUGUUCCAUAUGCACUUGAAAAGAAAUUGUAUUCUGCUGCUUUCAGAUGGAAUACUCUGAAAAUAUCAUUUAAGUCAAUCUGGGCUAAUAUGUUGUUUAGGGCCUGUGUUUCCUUAUUGAUUUUCUGUCUGUAUGAUCUGUCGAUUGGUGUAAGUGGGGUGUUAAUAUCUCCAACUAUUAUUUUGUUACUGUCAAUUUCUUCUUUUAUGAAUGUUAAUUAGCCUUAUAUAUUGAAGUGCUCCUACGCUGGGUACAUAUAUAUUUACAAUUGUUAUAUAUUCUCAGUUUGAUCAUUAUGUAGUGUCCUUCUUUAUCUCUUGUGAUAGUGUUUACUUUAAAGUCUUCUUUGUCUGAUAUAAGUAUUGCCCCUCUGGCUUUCUUUUGUUUUCCAUUUGUGUGGAAUUUCUUUUUAUAUCCCCUCAUUUUUAGUCUGUAUAUGUCUCUAGAUUUGAAGUGAGUUUCUUGUAGGCAGAAAAUAUAUGGGUUUUGUUUUUGUAUCCAUUCAGCAAGUGAGUUUUUGUUGAAGCAUUUUGUCUGUUUAAAUUUAAGGUAAUUAUUAAUAUGUAUGUUCUUACUGACAUUUUGUUAAUUGUUUUGUAUUCAUUUUUGUAGAUAUUUCCUCUCUAUUUCUUCUUUUGUUCUCUUCUCUUCUGGUUUUAUGACUAUCUUUAUUUUUUUUCUUUUUUUUUGUUUCUAUUUUAUUUUUUUAAGAUCCAAGAGUCAGCUUCUACUUCACAUAUACACACAGUAGAGUUGAUGGAUACUUUGUGUGACAUGAUUUUUUCACACUCUGUUUGAUGACUAUCUUUAUGUUUGGAUUCCUUUUUCUUUUCUGUGUGCCUAUCCUUUAUAGAUUUGUUUGUUUGUAGUUACUAUGAGCUUUCUGUAUAAUAGUGUGUGUGUGUGUGUGUGUGUGUGUGUGUGUGUGUGUGUGUGUAUGGUUAUUUUAAGCUGCUGA
rnacentral:lncRNA from 9 species